rnacentral:rRNA from 1 species
GAUGAACGCUGGCGGCGUGCCUAAUACAUGCAAGUCGAGCGAACGGACGAGAAGCUUGCUUCUCUGAUGUUAGCGGCGGACGGGUGAGUAACACGUGGAUAACCUACCUAUAAGACUGGGAUAACUUCGGGAAACCGGAGCUAAUACCGGAUAAUAUUUUGAACCGCAUGGUUCAAAAGUGAAAGACGGUCUUGCUAUCACUUAUAGAUGGACCCGCGCUGCAUUAGCUAGUUGGUAAGGUAACGGCUUACCAAGGCAACGAUGCGUAGCCGACCUGAGAGGGUGAUCGGCCACACUGGAACUGAGACACGGUCCAGACUCCUACGGGAGGCAGCAGUAGGGAAUCUUCCGCAAUGGGCGAAAGCCUGACGGAGCAACGCCGCGUGAGUGAUGAAGGUCUUCGGAUCGUAAAACUCUGUUAUUAGGGAAGAACAUAUGUGUAAGUAACUGUGCACAUCUUGACGGUACCUAAUCAGAAAGCCACGGCUAACUACGUG